GAUUCCCCUAGUAACGGCGAGUGAAGCGGGAAGAGCUCAAAUUUGAAAUCUGGUAGCCUUCGGUUGCCCGAGUUGUAAUCUAGAGAAGUGUUUUCCGUGCCGGCCCAUGUACAAGUCCCUUGGAACAGGGCGUCAUAGAGGGUGAGAAUCCCGUCCUUGACAUGGACCCCCGGUGCUUUGUGAUACACUUUCAACGAGUCGAGUUGUUUGGGAAUGCAGCUCAAAAUGGGUGGUGAAUUCCAUCUAAAGCUAAAUAUUGGCGAGAGACCGAUAGCGAACAAGUACCGUGAGGGAAAGAUGAAAAGCACUUUGGAAAGAGAGUUAAACAGUACGUGAAAUUGUUGAAAGGGAAACGAUUGAAGUCAGUCAUGCUCUUAGGAUUCAGCCGUUCUGCGGUGUAUUUCCUUUGAGUGGGGUCAACAUCAGUUUUGAUCGAUGGAUAAAGGCACGAGGAAGGUAGCACUCUCGGGUGAACUUAUAGCCUCGCGUCAUAUACAUUGAUUGGGACUGAGGAACGCAGCAUGCCUUUAUGGCCGGGAUUCGUCCACGUACAUGCUUAGGAUGUUGACAUAAUGGCUUUAAACGACCCGUCUU
rnacentral:rRNA from 1 species